rnacentral:rRNA from 1 species
CGCGUAGGCGGCCUUGUAAGUCCCGUGUGAAAGCCCCCGGCUCAACUGGGGAAUGGCACGGGAAACUGCGAGGCUUGAGUUCGGGAGAGGGAAGCGGAAUUCCGGGUGUAGCGGUGAAAUGCGUAGAUAUCCAAAAAAACACCAAUGACGAAAACGGCUUCCUGGACCGAUACUGACGCUGAGGCGCGAAAGCUAGGGGAGCAAACG